CUGUAGCAAGGUUAACCGUAUAGGGGAGCCGGAGGGAAACCGAGUCUUAACCGGGCGUUAAGUUGCAGGGUAUAGACCCGAAACCCGGUGAUCUAGCCAUGGGCAGGUUGAAGGUUGGGUAACACUAACUGGAGGACCGAACCGACUAAUGUUGAAAAAUUAGCGGAUGACCUGUGGCUGGGGGUGAAAGGCCAAUCAAACCGGGAGAUAGCUGGUUCUCCCCGAAAGCUAUUUAGGUAGCGCCUCGUGAAUUCAUCUCCGGGGGUAGAGCACUGUUUCGGCUAGGGGGCCAUCCCGGCUUACCAACCCGAUGCAAACUGCGAAUACCGGAGAAUGUUAUCACGGGAGACACACGGCGGGUGCUAACGUCCGUCGUGAAGAGGGAAACAACCCAGACCGCCAGCUAAGGUCCCAAAGUCAUGGUUAAGUGGGAAACGAUGUGGGAAGGCCCAGACAGCCAGGAUGUUGGCUUAGAAGCAGCCAUCAUUUAAAGAAAGCGUAAUAGCUCACUGGUCGAGUCGGCCUGCGCGGAAGAUGUAACGGGGCUAAACCAUGCACCGAAGCUGCGGCAGCGA
rnacentral:rRNA from 1 species